rnacentral:rRNA from 1 species
GACGAACGCUGGCGGCGUGCUUAACACAUGCAAGUCGAACGGUGAAGCGCUUUCCUUUUUGGUUGGUGUGGAUGAGUGGCGAACGGGUGAGUAACACGUGAGUAACCUGCCCCCUUCUUCUGGAUAACCGCAUGAAAGUGUGGCUAAUACGGGAUAUUCUGCGCCUGCUGCAUGGUGGGUGUGGGAAAGAUUGUGCCUUUGGGUGUUUUCGGUGGGGGAUGGGCUUGCGGCCUAUCAGCUUGUUGGUGGGGUGAUGGCCUACCAAGGCGGUGACGGGUAGCCGGCCUGAGAGGGUGGACGGUCACACUGGGACUGAGACACGGCCCAGACUCCUACGGGAGGCAGCAGUGGGGAAUAUUGCACAAUGGGCGCAAGCCUGAUGCAGCGACGCCGCGUGAGGGAUGGAGGCCUUCGGGUUGUGAACCUCUUUCGCCAGUGAAGCAGGCCUGCUCCUUGUGGGUGGGUUGACGGUAGCUGAUAAGAAGCGCCG